CCUACGGGAGGCAGCAGUGGGGAAUAUUGGACAAUGGGCGAAAGCCUGAUCCAGCAAUGCCGCGUGAGUGAUGAAGGCCCUAGGGUUGUAAAGCUCUUUUACCCGGGAAGAUAAUGACUGUACCGGGAGAAUAAGCCCCGGCUAACUCCGUGCCAGCAGCCGCGGUAAUACGGAGGGGGCUAGCGUUGUUCGGAAUUACUGGGCGUAAAGCGCACGUAGGCGGCUUUGUAAGUCAGAGGUGAAAGCCUGGAGCUCAACUCCAGAACUGCCUUUGAGACUGCAUCGCUUGAAUCCAGGAGAGGUCAGUGGAAUUCCGAGUGUAGAGGUGAAAUUCGUAGAUAUUCGGAAGAACACCAGUGGCGAAGGCGGCUGACUGGACUGGUAUUGACGCUGAGGUGCGAAAGCGUGGGGAGCAAACAGGAUUAGAUACCCGAGUAGUC
rnacentral:rRNA from 1 species